CACAGGUGCUGCAUGGCUGUCGUCAGCUCGUGUCGUGAGAUGUUCGGUUAAGUCCGCUAACGAGCGCAACCCUCGCUGUGUGUUAUAUGUGUCACACGGGACUGCCGGUCUUAAGCCGGAGGAAGGUGGGGAUGAUGUCAAGUCAGCAUGGCCUUUAUAUCCUGGGCUACACACACGCUACAAUGGCCAACACAAUAGGUUGCUAAGCCGCGAGGUGGCGCCAAUCCAUAAAGUUGGUCUCAGUUCAGAUUGUAGGCUGCAACCCGCCUGCAUGAAGAUGGAGUUGCUAGUAACCGCAGGUCAGCUAUACUGCGGUGAAUACGUUCCCGGGCUU
rnacentral:rRNA from 1 species